rnacentral:rRNA from 1 species
CCUACGGGUGGCAGCAGUGGGGGAUAUUGCACAAUGGGGGGAACCCUGAUGCAGCGACGCCGCGUGUGGGCAGACGGUCCUCUGGAUUGUAAACCACUGUCCCCAGGGACGAAAAUGACGGUACCUGGGGAUGAAGCUCCGUCUAACUACGUGCCAGCAGCCGCGGUAAUACGUAGGGAGCGAGCGUUGUCCGGAAUUACUGGGUGUAAAGGGAGCGUAGGCGGGGAUGCAAGUUGGGUGUCAAAACUACCGGCUCAACUGGUAGUCGCACUCAAAACUGCAGCUCUUGAGUGAAGUAGAGGCAGGCGGAAUGCCUAGUGUAGCGGUGAAAUGCGUAGAUAUUAGGAGGAACACCAGUGGCGAAGGCGGCCUGCUGGGCUUUUACUGACGCUGAGGCUCGAAAGUGUGGGGAGCAAACAGGAUUAGAUACCCCUGUAGUC